rnacentral:misc_RNA from 1 species
GAUGAAGAACGUAGCGAAAUGCGAUAAGUAGUGUGAAUUGCAGAAUUCAGUGAAUCAUCGAAUCUUUGAACGCACAUUGCGCCCCUUGGUAUCCCGAGGGGCAUGCCUGUUCGAUCGUCAUUUCACCACUCAAGCCUGGCUUGGUGUUGGGCGACGUCCUCUUUGGGGACGCGCCUCGAAACGCUCGGCGGCGUGGCACCGGCUUUAAGCGUAGCAGAAUCUUUCGCUUUGGAAGUCGGGGCCCCGUCUGCCGGAAGACCUGCUCGCAAGGUUGACCUCGGAUCAGGCAGGGAUACCCGCUGAACUUAAGCAUAUCAAUAAGCGGAGGA